AUCCCCUUCUUAACACCCACGGCCCCCUCGCCUGAAGGCAAAGGCAUGAAAAUAAAGAAAUAAACGACCAGGCUGGUGCCACCAAAGCCUGGGGGAUGUUACCGUUACCCUGGUCGUCCCAGUUUCCCGACCCCUGAAGGCCAGUACUGGCUGGGGAGGUCUGGAGUAUCCCUCCCUUCCCUCCGUCCUGUCUCGUCUGGGCUCUCUCUCCCAGAGAAAAGGGGAAAGCCCAGAACAACAACAAAACACCCAAAAGCCCGCUGCAGGCGGAGUACACUCAGUCCGGUGCUGCUCGGUGGCCCCUUUGUUCCCGGCGGGGGGACAGGCGAGGCGUGAACCCCCCAGCCUGCUGCCCACACGCCAUGGGACGGGCCCCUUCCCAGCGGGGCUGCUCGGCAGGGCCCGACCCUCCUCUCCUCUCCUCUCGGCGGAGCGGGGAUAUGAUAAAAGGAGACAGGGCUCUGAAAGGAUUUGAUUGAGAUGGCGUGUGCCAAGCUGAUGGGAGCCAGCGAGGGACAAAGCGCCGAGGAGCCAUGGACACUCGAGCAAUUAUUCCUCCACGCUGAAGGUGGAUUAGCGCAAUGGAAAGAAGCAUAUGUUCGGCCUGGGGCGACACUCCCCCUGGCUGGGUUUAGAGAAUGAGAGAGGAGAAAGAGGCUGAACCUGGAAUAUCAACUAUCCGGGAGACAGCCCAGCCGCCCCCCCCCUCUCCCAGCCUCUCCAAAAGUCCCGGGGAUGGAUGGCAGGAUAAAUAUGCACAGCCCUGUAGAUCAACGGGCACCCACGCGUAUACCCACAGAGAGCUGCACACACCUCUGUGCACAGCCAUUGCAUCCUUUGGCGUGGGCACACAGAGACAGAAAGACAGAAAGGUGGGAAAACCCACUCGGGUGUGACAAAGAGAGCAUGAACAGCCUGCCUAUUGAGGGGCCUUGCAGCACCCACUCCGCUAGAGGCUCAGCCCCUCCUGAAACUUUCUGAAGGUGGCUGUGGUGAGGGAUGGGGUCAUCCCCAUGCCUCACACCAGGCCCAGCCUGGAAGAUGCGUGGCAGACUUCUCAGUUCCCCCUUUCCUUCUGCUCCUGCAAUGCAUCCUGCAGGCACUCUGCAGGGUGAGAAGGAUGCACUCUACUAGGAGAGAGAGAGGGAAAAGGAGGAAGGCCGCUCUCCCCAUCCUCCUGGGAGCUCCAAAGUUGUGCCCCAAGUAUUUCACUUCCACUUCUUUAUCCUCAGGCAGACCUAAUAUAGGGGCUGGCAGCACGAGGGCAGAAAGCUCCGCAGGAUGGACAAGCCAGUAGGAACAUAACCAAAGCCAUUGCAUGGAAGAAAUAUACAUCCCCAAGAUUGCAGUGGCACAGAGUGCAACAACUCCCGCCAGAAAAAAAGCUCAGCUCAAAGCCCCUGCAUCUGCUUUCAAUAGUCAGUUACAAAAGGAAUUAACCACACCACAGGCAACAACAGCAGUGGGGCUCAAGAGUAUCUCUGGAUGGGAAAGAUCUUCAUGCUGUCCACGUCCUAUAGAAGCUGGCACUUCAGUGCACGUUCUUUACACUUGGCUGUCCUUCACCUUCCUGCUCUGAAAACACGGCUAUUCCUUCUGCCCCAGGAUGUACUUCCCCACUUUCUCUUCCUUCACCUGGUCUAAAGGUGCCUGUGCAAACGAGCUGUGUGGCUACACACAGAUCAGGAAUCCAGGAGCUUGCAGGAACCUUGGAGCCCUGGUUCAGAGAGGGAACCCACGUGCUUGCCAUACAGGGCAGAGAUGGUUUUGGGUGGUGGUUCUUGCCCUGUAGGAUUAGGGUGUGAAGGAAAGCCAGUCUGGAGACAGUGGGUCCUUCCCACUCCACCAGAAAGCUCUCGGUUGCCUCAGCCUGAUUUCCACUUUGGUUUGCUCAGUGGAUGCGCUCCAACCACUCUACUGGAGAGAUGAGAAACGUUGGCCCUUUAGUCUGAGCCACCAAAGCUAACCUCUGCAUCAUAGAGACAUGACUACACAGAUGGUAACAGGGAAUAAAGGCCACAGGUCUGUCACCUUCAUACCUACAGCACCUGGCACCAAAAUGGAGGGGUAAGAGUGCAAGGACACAAAUCUUGCUUUCCACAACAAACUAUACUUCUGUUCACCCUUCCCAAAGCAUCACCCUCUGUACCUGCUCAAGAAAGUCUACAGACUUCAACCAGAAGAAUAGAAACAAGGCUGAUUUGCUCAUCUCUAGUAGUAAACAGUCAUGAAAGACUUUCACAUUUCCUCUGUUUCCUAUUGCUUAUUUUAAAUUACCUAUUUUGGGAAGUUUCGGGUUAUUCAACUAAAUAUUGCAAACGGAGAGGCUGCACCCUAUGCGGAAUAAAUGACCUAAGAACCAGGCUUGGCUGUUUUCUUUUUUCCUCCAUCCCAGAGAUAAAAAGAAGGAACACAUUUUAGUAAUCCCCGCUCAUUUUCACGGCCAUUCGUGCACCUGUAACUCAAAUAAUGAAGCCAUUUGUUAUUUAUAUUGCACUUACCCCUCCAUUCUAGAUUUCUAACGAUCUGACCCUGUUUUAUGGCCCCGACAAAGCCUGAAACUGGUGUGGACUUC
ensembl:lncRNA